GGAUGUGGCGCUUUCUAACUUUACUGAUAGUGAUUUAUCAGUAAAGUCAUAAAUGCACCUCAUUCCC
rnacentral:pre_miRNA from 1 species